rnacentral:rRNA from 1 species
ACAGUGAUGGAAAGAUGAAAAGAACUUUGAAAAGAGAGUGAAAAAGUACGUGAAAUUGUUGAAAGGGAAGGGCUUGAGAUCAGACUUGGUAUUUUGUAUGUUACUCUCUCGGGGGUGGCCUCUACAGUUUACCGGGCCAGCAUCAGUUUGAGCGGUAGGAUAAGUGCAAAGAAAUGUGGCACUGUCGGUAGUGUGUUAUAGUCUUUGUCGAUACUGCCAGCUUAACUGAGGACUGCGGCUUCKGCCUASGAUGUYGGCAUAAUGAUCUUAAGUCG